rnacentral:rRNA from 1 species
CCUACGGGACGCAGCAGUGAGGAGUAUUGGUCAAUGGGCGAAAGCCUGAACCAGCCAAGUCGCGUGAGGGAAGACGGUCCUAUGGAUUGUAAACCUCUUUUGUCGGGGGGCAAAAAGCGGUACGUGUACCGCAUCGGGAGUACCCGGAGAAAAAGCAUCGGCUAACUCCGUGCCAGCAGCCGCGGUAAUACGGAGGAUGCGAGCGUUAUCCGGAUUUAUUGGGUUUAAAGGGAGCGCAGGCGGCGAGUUAAGUCAGCGGUAAAAUGUCGGGCUCAACCCCG